rnacentral:rRNA from 1 species
GACGAACGCUGGCGGCGUGCCUAAUACAUGCAAGUAGAACGCACAGUUUAUACCGUAGCUUGCUACACCAUAAACUGUGAGUUGCGAACGGGUGAGUAACGCGUAGGUAACCUGCCUGGUAGCGGGGGAUAACUAUUGGAAACGAUAGCUAAUACCGCAUAAUAUUGAUUAUUGCAUGAUAAUUGAUUGAAAGAUGCUAUUGCAUCACUACCAGAUGGACCUGCGUUGUAUUAGCUAGCAGGUGAGGUAACGGCUCACCUAGGCGACGAUACAUAGCCGACCUGAGAGGGUGAUCGGCCACACUGGGACUGAGACACGGCCCAGACUCCUACGGGAGGCAGCAGUAGGGAAUCUUCGGCAAUGGACGAAAGUCUGACCGAGCAACGCCGCGUGAGUGAAGAAGGUUUUCGGAUCGUAAAGCUCUGUUGUAAGAGAAGAACGGGUGUGAGAGUGGAAAGUUCACACUGUGACGGUAUCUUACCAGAAAGGGACGGCUAACUACGUG